rnacentral:lncRNA from 1 species
CCUGAAAACAUAAUCCACAAAUAUCACAAAACUAGUAAAUGUAAAAAAUACAGUGGUUACUUCUUGAUCAAAAGUAUAAGAAACACUGAUAGUACUAAAUUGCAAAUAUAUGAUGCUAUUCUCUUCUUUGUUAAACAUUUUCUACCCUUGAUUGAAAACUAUUACAUGAACAAAUAGAGGUGAUUAUAUAUGAUAAAAAAUGUCAAUAUUGUCUCGGUGUCCGACACUACGACACAUCUUUAAUCUCAAGUAUCAAUGCUAUAUUAGGUGUAAAUAUAGAAUCCCUCUUAAGGGGCAGAAUCAUGAUUGAUUAUACCCUUCCAGAUUGUAGUGGGAGACUUGUCCUUUUCACAUGAACACACCCAUUUCCCUCCUAUUGAUCUGUGCUGCAAGAUUCAACUGAUACUCAACCUGAAACAAAGAAAUCUACGUUGCUCGCAAUAUACCUAACAAACUACUGGACUAGUGUUAUAUAUGUUUUAAGAGUUAAACUAAGAUUGAGAAAAACAAACAAUGAGCAUGGAUUCCCUGCAGUCGUGAAACUCUACAUUCAGGCAAUCAUCGCAACAAUCACUGAUUAAUUGACUAACUAAAUGCUGAGUAUAUUCUACUACACGGAAUCUAUUUCCACAAACUAAAUGUUUCUUGAUGAAUGCAUUUACCUUGCAAUCAUGAUCUGAUUUCAUUCCUUUUGAAUCAUCUGAUAGUUUCAAACUACCAGUGACAUCAAUUAUAUAUAUCUUAACGGGCACUAUAAAAUCAUCCCAAUCAACCCACUUUACUGUGCAUCUUAAGUAAAGGCUUCUCUUAGGUCCUUCGAAACCUUCCUUCAACUUGCACCGUGUAGAAUCAUAACAACAUAACAAACCUCCUUUAUAAUCUGGCCUAAUAGAUUUUCCAUACUCAUCCACUGUAACAUUAUAAAGGUCACACUUACAUUCAGUGCACCCUAAUUUAUCCUCUGUGCCACGCGUAUCGAUGGCAUGAACAUUAAGCAACCAUUUCUCCUCAAACCCUUCUGGAAUCUCUUCAGGACUACCUGUCUCUAUACCAAAAGGAUCUGGAAUAUCUGUUGUCGUUCCUCGUGUUUCUGAUCCAAGGCCAAAGUAUUGUGGAAUGGUAUUUCCCUGGCAUAUGCCACUGUUCCUUACAAGAACAUGAUCAUAGUUUUGAAGCAUCAUGUGGCUACCAUCUUCUGUGUGUGUGACAUAUUUUCUUUGAUAAUGUCAUUCAACAAGCCAAUGAUGGAGAUAGGUUUCAUGGAGGGGUAUAGGAUUACCAUCUUCAUCAACAACUUCAGCAUUGAAACUCUUGAGUGCUAUAUGAUCACUUGGAAAAUCAAUAUAAUAAUAAAAUCUAUUGAUAACUGAUCCAGGUCCAAGUUCAAACUUAGGGGACAGAAAAACAGCUGAUUUUAUUUUAUUUUCAGUCUUCUCAAAAGAACUUAAGCAUGGUGUGCCAAACAAUAAUAGAAGUAUUGCUACUGACAAUUCAAAAUCUCUAGGUACAAACCACAUGUUGAUGAUCUGCCAGAAAAAUAUUUACAAGUAAUUAACUAAUUUUUUAUUAAAGAAAUAUUAAACAGAUGCAGAAUCAAGCUUUCAUUAAACAAGGAAGACAAUGUUUGCAAAUUGCACAUGCACAACAAUAUUAAAAAAGGCAAGAUAAACUACACAAAUAUGCAUGAAAAAACAUAGUUUGAACACAAUCAAUACGGAGCAAAAGCAUGCAGAAGAGAAGAUGGAAUGGCUUGAGUUGCGUUCCUCAGAAAGAUAGUUUGGAAAUGGCAGAGUUGAGCUUUGUUUGACGAGAAAACUAGCUACUAUUCGAAGUAUUUUUAUAUAGAAAAUGUACCUGAGACCCACCUCAUCAUCAUCACAUGAUAAUGUUCUUCACAAUCUUUCAUUUCACACUCGGGAAAGCAAUAUCAGAAUUUAUUAUUAGCAUGACUUCUUCAUUCUUUCAUUUUAAUAUAGGUCUAUACUUGUACCGCUCAAAGUAAUGGGAAAGUCUAUGUCAAUGUUUCAUAAAUAAAUUCAAUUGUUGAUAUUAUAUUACAUGUAUUAUAUCACAUGUAUUUCUUAUUAUGGGCUUUGAAAAUAUCAUAUCACAUGUAUUAUAUUAUUUGUUUGUAAAAAAAGUAUUAGUAUAUUAUAUUAUAUUUUUACCUCUUUUUAAUUGCAUUUUCUUUUUAUAUAUAGAGAAAGAAUGAAUGUUUUUAGCUUUUGAUAUAAUUAUAUCUUUUUCUUGUAGUCGUCAAAAAGAAUUUCUUUUUUUCUUUCUAAUAAUGGAAUUGCAUUAACUACUCAAACGGAUGGAAUUUGCACCAAGGGAAUCAUUACAUAUGAGAAUAUCUAACAAAGAUUUCUCUAUUACAGCUAAGUAGAAUGAGCUCGAUAUGCAAGAUGGUUUGCACAUUUAUUUGCAUCGCAGUUAAUAUGAUAUAACUCAAGUGCAUAUUUGGAGUAUGGUGCAAGUACAUGGCAGAUAAGAAAUAUUGGUAUAACCAUGUUGAAUCGUAUUCAUCGCUACUUUGAAAUCAAAUUCAAUUAACACGUGUAUUAGGUGCUGAGAUUGAACAAGUCCAAAGCCGGAAAGAAUUGUCCACGGCUCAGUUGAAAGUUUAUUUGAAGAGGUAAUUUAAAGCAUAAAAUCAUACACAAAUUUACCUUGUUGGUCACGAAUCAAGCCACCACAAGCCAAGCUUCCGACGCUGGUAAAAUAUGAUCCAUCUACAUUGAGUUUGAGUCGUCCAAGAGGAUGGAUCAAAUUAUGCUUCUGAUGUGCAUUGUGGAUUUCCUCUAUAUGUCUUGGGCAGUUGCAACUCAAUUACAAACAAGAUCAUGAACAAGAUUUUUAACUGAAUUUCAUAGCUUAUCUCCCGUAUCUAAUUGAUAAUGUAGAUUUUUACCCUAUUCAUUGUGAAUAUUUUUAUGGGUAUCUAUUAGGUACGAGUCCAAUUGUCAUCCAUAAGAUGUGUUCUAAAGUUACAUGCUAAGAAAUUCAAUUUAGAAUAUAUAAUUAUGAAAGAUAUGUACAUUUAAUUCUUUAAAGUUUACAAAUUUUUCAUUUCAAUACAAAAUUUAUACUUUGUCAAAAAAACAAAAAAAAAAUACAAAAUUUAUACUUUUAUAUUCUUUAAUAUCUAUCUUUAAGGUCCAGUUAACAAGACCCUAAAAUAUAUACAUUUUAUAUAACACUUCCUCUCAUAGAAAGAAAGGGAAAAAAAAAAUCAAGAUCACGACUUUUUAUUCAUUUUUUAAUCUUAAUAUUAUAUUUUAAAUAUUAUUUUAUAUUAAAUAUUUUUAUACUCACUUGUAUGAUGAUUAAAAAUUGGUAUUUGAGGGGAAAAAACAUCUUAAAAUUUAGAAAGAUAAAUAUCUAGUACAAUAAUAUCCUAUUAAAAGAAAGAGUAAUUCACAAUAUAUGUUUAUAUUAAUUUAUUAUGAAUGGCUUCCUGAUUAUUGUCACAAUUGUGCUACAAUUGGUCAUGACAUUGGUCGAUGUAAGUGGUUGCAUAAAAAUCAGAAUGUUUCCAACUAGGUUGCUAAGAAACAAAAAGUUGAAAAUAGAAACUAUAAGGAGAUGCAUUCCAAGCUGGAAAUGAAAAGGUUUGCAAGGGUAAGACAUUAUCUCGUGACGAUACUGUGCAACAUCCUCAGCGGGCUAGACAACAUGAGGCUGCACAAACUUAGCCUCAGAUUGUCUUGCAACAAUUGACUAAUGAUAUUGUGCAACCAACACGAUGUAGCAAAAUUGUUGUAGAUGAGGACCCACUUAUCUUAGAUAUAAUAAGGUCCAAAUAUAUGACAAUUAUUGUGCAUGUGGGAGAUGCUAUUGAGUUGGUGGAAGAGGCAUUUUCUAUAGCUGUUGAAACUCUUCUUGUGCAGCCUGUGCAGGUGAAACACACCUUAGUUCAUGAUUGUGAGAUUGUGAAACAUAACGGGGACCAACAGAGGAAUUCUUUGUGUAUCAAUGUCCCUUGGUGUGAUGCGGCGACCAAUAUGGACUACAGUCAGGAUCACACACGAAGUGAAUUUGAGCAGGAAUUGGGAACUGAUAGUUCCAUAGUUGUGACAGACUCUAACUUGUCAAACUUUAGUGCUAAUGUAAUUCAUGAAAUGCAAGUUUUAAGGGCUUAUUCCUACCGUAACCCAACAAGCUAUGGAUUUUCUAAGUGAUUCCUCGUUUAACAUGGGUCAGAAAGAAGAUACUGUUGAUUUGACAGGAAACACAAGUCAGCCAUUUCAAUUGGUGGAACAUAGAAAGAGGGAGAACAAGACGCAGCAGCCUCAUACGAGCAAAGGGUUCAAGAUGGGUGAUUCCAGCUGUUCGCAUCGCUAGUUCUUUGAUGGGAGUUCACUUUCAUACUUUUUAGGCCUUUUAACUGUUUUAGUUCUUUUUCCGCUUUUGUUUUUCUAGAGGGUUUUGGUUUAAUCACCCUUCCCUCUUUAUACUUUCUUUCUUUAUUUUAAUCUAUGAUCAGGAUUCUGCAGUAGGUGAUCCCUCUGCACCUCAUAUAGUAUAUUGUCGCUUUAUAUGCUGGGUCAGCCAUAUGAACCAAAAAAUAGUGAAUUAAGCCAAAAAUACAAAUUUGUUUUUCUCCUAUAUCUAGCAGAAUACACAGAGAAGUGUAAUUAUUCAGUUACCCUUUCCAAUCAUGUCUUUAUUCAUCUUUGAUAAAUCGAUCAUAUCUUACCAUAAUACCAUCAAUGACACGCCACUUAUAUCAUCAUAUAUGUAACUAACUAUCAGAAAAAUUUACGUCGGCGACAAAAGAAGAACGAGAAAAAAGUCUGAGUUGUUGAUAUGGGAGCUGUUCUGCCACCAAUAUGUAGAAAAGCCCCAUUACUCCGGUGUGCUCCUUGGUGCUGUUGUAGUUAGACUCUAGAGUCAAAGUUUCACCAUCAAUUAUCUUAACAGAACCUGGUUUAGGAUAACAUGUGGACAUUCCUACAAUGUAGCCUGAUUCAUUUCCUGCUUCACUUCCCUUUCCGUAAUUUGGUAUAGAAGAACAUAUAACCCUCCCAUCCUGAAAACAUAAUCCACAAAUUUCACAAAACAAGCUAAUAUACAAAUACAAUGUUUAACUUCUGGGUCAAAUGUAUAAGAAACAUCGAUGGUACUAAAUUGCAAAUAUAUGACACCAUUCUCUUCUUUAUUAAACAUUUGUUACCCUCUAUCGAAAACUAUUACAUGAUCAAAUAGAGGUGAUUAUAUAUGAUAAAAAAUGCC